ensembl:misc_RNA
CUGGCAGCCUUGGAGGCUGAGACCCUAUAUUUAUUUACAGAGCAGAUAUAGCACAGGCAACAGCAGAACAAGAUUCCCCACUUCGUCACCCUAGGGUGUUUCAACCUGGACAAGCAGGAAGCAUCUCUGGAAGAGAGAGGGUAGUUCACUUGCCAUGCCCAUACAUUCUUUGGCCUCU